rnacentral:tRNA from 1 species
ACCUGGCUGGCUCAGUGGGCAGAGCAUGUGACUCUUAAUCUCAGGGUUGUGAGUUCAAGCCCCACGUUGAGUG